rnacentral:rRNA from 1 species
UACGUAGGGUGCGAGCGUUGUCCGGAAUUAUUGGGCGUAAAGAGCUCGUAGGCGGUCUGUCGCGUCUGCUGUGAAAUCCCGAGGCUCAACCUCGGGCCUGCAGUGGGUACGGGCAGACUAGAGUGCGGUAGGGGAGAUUGGAAUUCCUGGUGUAGCGGUGGAAUGCGCAGAUAUCAGGAGGAACACCGAUGGCGAAGGCAGAUCUCUGGGCCAUAACUGACGCUGAGGAGCGAAAGCGUGGGGAGCGAACAGG